rnacentral:rRNA from 1 species
AACGAACGUUGGCGGCAUGGAUUAGGCAUGCAAGUCGAGGGAAUCCCAGCAAUGGGGGAACCGGCGUAAGGGGCAGUAAGGCAUGGGUACCUACCCCGGGUUCGGAAUAGCCUUCAGAGAUGGAGGGUAAUACCGGAUGACCUCGUGAGAGCAAAGAUUUAUCGCCCUGGGAGGGGCCCAUGUGGUAUUAGCUAGUUGGUGAGGUAACGGCUCACCAAGGCGAAGAUGCCUAGCGGGUGUGAGGAGCACGACCCGCGCCACUCGCACUGAGACACUGGCGAGACACCUACGGGUGGCUGCAGUCGAGGAUCUUCGGCAAUGGGGGCAACCCUGGACCGAGCGAUGCCG